CCCAGGCAGAAUCUUUUAGGAACACUGUGUUCUGAAAUAGGGAGACACACCUGGAAUUGAGCAGACCAGGUUGCUGUAGCCCGUUUCUAACGUUAAGAUGGAAGUCCCAAAGUAAAGAGGAGAACGGGUUUUUGGUCAUUUUAAGCUACCUUCCCAGGAUAAAGACAUCAUGAUUAAACCAAAAUACGAGGAAGCCUGCAGCAUUACUAUGUGCUCGAGGAGAUAAGUGAAUUCUCUGACACAUUUAUGCAAAUUACAUUCUUAGUAUGACUAUAGUUUCUUAGUCUGUCCUAAAACACAGUGUGCCUUCGUCUGUCAGUAUUCAUACCUGUUUUUUUCCACUCAUGCACAUCUAUUUUUAUUGUUGUAAUCCAGCAGAAAACACCAGCAUUUGCUAUCCAGUGGUGCAUGGUAAGUGACCCUCUUUAUUUCGCAUUUCUCUAAAAUCUGGAAGAAUAUGAACUUCAGUCUAAGAGCAGCAUCUUCUGAUGUGCAAAGAUACGAUUAUAGCCAAGAGCUCCAUAAAGGAUCACUGUUCCUCUUGCACUCUUCUACACUUGAAGCUGAAGGACACCAUUUCCCUUCUGAAAUGAGGGGGGUAACAAUUACUGGGUUACUGCACUUUGGGUAAGAAUUGUCUGUGGAAGCUCUUCUCAGUUUGUGUCUGUACCCUGCUGUGUGGUGAUGCCAAACAUUAGGGUACGUAGAAGCAAAUACACCUUCCUCUCUUGGAGAUGUCAAGAGCUGAGCAGGAGCACUGGCAAGGGCACAAAGCAAAUGGAUGCCAGAUAUCACUGCUACUUUUUGCAUGGCAUGAAUGAGGAGAGAAGCCACCAACACAUCUACUGCUGUAGUUGGCCUAUGGUUUGUUUUACAUCAAGCUUCUGUGUUGGUGAUAAUGAUAGCAACUCGAGAGAUGGACACGUCCCUGGAAGGGAAGAAAGGAAGAAAAACCUGACCUGGCCUUUGAUAGAAGGAAAAUCCCGCAAUGCAUCCUUUGGAAGUGGCAGAUCUUGCAAUGCCUACACAACACAGAGGAAAACCAAGCGCUGCGUAUGAAGAGUUGGCGGUUGCGAGCUGGGGAGCGAUACCCCGAGCGGGGAGGGAGCCUGCUUCCAAAUGAAGGGAGCAUUUACACUGCGCCUUCGGGCUUCGGUUCGGCACGGAGAGCGCAGAUUCAAGCAGCAAACUCCACACCAGCAGCGCUACCCCGAAUGAGAAGGCAGAGGAAAUAUUCCCCCUUGCGACGCUGGGUGGGGGUGUUGGCCACGGACCGGGAGGUUUCUCUGCCCGCACCGGAUCUGCAGGCACAGGGAGACAAAAAAACCGUGUGAGCUGCUCGGGAAGGGUGGCGGUGCACGGAGCCGGGACGGCUUUCGGACCCCUUACCCCAGGAUUCCUGACAAACAUCGCUCU
rnacentral:lncRNA from 1 species